UACGAAGGGGGCUAGCGUUGCUCGGAAUUACUGGGCGUAAAGGGCGCGUAGGCGGAUAGUUUAGUCAGAGGUGAAAGCCCAGGGCUCAACCUUGGAAUUGCCUUUGAUACUGGCUGUCUUGAGUUCAGGAGAGGUGAGUGGAAUGCCGAGUGUAGAGGUGAAAUUCGUAGAUAUUCGGCGGAACACCAGUGGCGAAGGCGACUCACUGGCCCGAUACUGACGCUGAGGCGCGAAAGCGUGGGGGGCAAACAGG
rnacentral:rRNA from 1 species